CCCCUACAAACUCCCUCCCUCGCUCUCUCUCUCUCUCCCUGUGACCGGCUAACAAAAGCCUCGUUGCCCUUUCGCCGGGUUUUCUCGCCGACGAUCCUUCUCCGGAAUAAAUACACUUUUCCACAGUCUCCUUCCUGGACUGGCGGUGCGUGAACGUCGGAGUGGCUUGUCUCCUCCUCCUCCUCCCCCAGCGGGCAGGGCUCAAAAGGAGUGCAUGGGAGCUCUCUCACCCCCGCUCUCCCUCUUUACUCCCUCCCUCACCCACGUUUGUCUCUUCACGGGGUGAUGAGGGAGCCGAGGCAGAGGAGGUGCGUGGCAGUCCAAGAAGCGCUGGCUGCCCCUUCGCUCUCUCAGUUUCCCUACCGCCGGGUCAUUGAUUCCUCGUUCCCUCUUUUCCUCAUCAUCCUGGGAUAAGGUAGGUAGUAAACUCUUUCUAAAAAAAAGCUUUUUUGUAUUUUUUUCUGUCUGCCUCCAAGUCGGCUACGGCCCGCACACGACAAGCUCCGGCAGGAAAAUGAAAGCACAAAGCAGCAAAAUGCAUCAGCAUGAAUAUUAGAGAUGUCGUUAAAACCCUGGCUCGUUUUUUCUCUCUCUCUCUCUCUUGCUCACUCCCCCCUCUCUCUCUUUGUAAAGGAAGUAGGCCAGCAGAUGGUGCUAGCAGUUAUUACAUUAACUUUCCCAAUUUAACCUUUACAUUGCUGAAUCACUCCCGUCACCACAUUUUUGGCCUUUUUUGUAGGUUACAGCCAAUGGUGUGAUGAUUUAUUUCAGGAAACAUUAGAAAAACAUUCUGAGACUUCCGGCAGGUCGGAGUGGCUGGCCUUUACACAACUCCCUCCCAUCGCAGGCAGACAUGUGCAACAGCUGGCACAUGGCACAAGGAAUGACACAUGGCUGGCCCAAAGCCAGGUACAGUAGAGAGACACGGUCCAGGCUAUAGCGACAGACAGUGAUGAUUUAAAUCUCUGUUAUGGACGGCUCGAACGCAGCGCACACUCCAAUUCCAGAAAGACAGAUUCCACCGUAAAUGCAAGUCACGUGAAAAGUACAAGGGACUGGUAAACAUGAACAAAACAGUCAUUGAAACAUUAGCCAGAGCAGUAGCUGACUUUGAAUAAUAAAUGUUGGUGUUUGAUGAAUGCUGAAAAGUCAAUAAAAGUAUCUGAGACUAACUGGAA